GGGUUGUGAGGUUAAGCGACUAAGCGUACACGGUGGAUGCCCUGGCAGUCAGAGGCGAUGAAGGGCGUGCUAAUCUGCGAUAAGCGCCGGUAAGGUGAUAUGAACCGUUAUAACCGGCGAUACCCGAAUGGGGAAACCCAGUGUGAUUCGUCACACUAUCAUUAACUGAAUCCAUAGGUUAAUGAGGCGAACCGGGGGAACUGAAACAUCUAAGUACCCCGAGGAAAAGAAAUCAACCGAGAUUCCCCCAGUAGCGGCGAGCGAACGGGGAGGAGCCCAGAGCCUGAAUCAGCAUGUGUGUUAGUGGAAGCGUCUGGAAAGGCGCGCGAUACAGGGUGACAGCCCCGUACACAAAAGCGCAUGUGCUGUGAGCUCGAUGAGUAGGGCGGGACACGUGGUAUCCUGUCUGAAUAUGGGGGGACCAUCCUCCAAGGCUAAAUACUCCUGACUGACCGAUAGUGAACCAGUACCGUGAGGGAAAGGCGAAAAGAACCCCGGCGAGGGGAGUGAAAAAGAACCUGAAACCGUGUACGUACAAGCAGUGGGAGCCCCACCACUAAGCCAGUGGUGAACUCCACAUACGCAUCCUUUGCUGAGGAUACGGUUAACGGAGCGAAAGCGACGUUCAACCUCAAAAGAAGCAGAGGGGGCUUAGUGGUGGGGUGACUGCGUACCUUUUGUAUAAUGGGUCAGCGACUUAUAUUCUGUAGCAAGGUUAACCGAAUAGGGGAGCCGGAGGGAAACCGAGUCUUAAUUGGGCGUUAAGUUGCAGGGUAUAGACCCGAAACCCGGUGAUCUAGCCAUGGGCAGGUUGAAGGUUGGGUAACACUAACUGGAGGACCGAACCGACUAAUGUUGAAAAAUUAGCGGAUGACCUGUGGCUGGGGGUGAAAGGCCAAUCAAACCGGGAGAUAGCUGGUUCUCCCCGAAAGCUAUUUAGGUAGCGCCUCGUGAAUUCAUCUCCGGGGGUAGAGCACUGUUUCGGCUAGGGGGCCAUCCCGGCUUACCAACCCGAUGCAAACUGCGAAUACCGGAGAAUGUUAUCACGGGAGACACACGGCGGGUGCUAACGUCCGUCGUGAAGAGGGAAACAACCCAGACCGCCAGCUAAGGUCCCAAAGUCAUGGUUAAGUGGGAAACGAUGUGGGAAGGCCCAGACAGCCAGGAUGUUGGCUUAGAAGCAGCCAUCAUUUAAAGAAAGCGUAAUAGCUCACUGGUCGAGUCGGCCUGCGCGGAAGAUGUAACGGGGCUAAACCAUGCACCGAAGCUGCGGCAGCGACACUGUGUGUUGUUGGGUAGGGGAGCGUUCUGUAAGCCUGUGAAGGUGGCCUGUGAGGGUUGCUGGAGGUAUCAGAAGUGCGAAUGCUGACAUAAGUAACGAUAAAGCGGGUGAAAAGCCCGCUCGCCGGAAGACCAAGGGUUCCUGUCCAACGUUAAUCGGGGCAGGGUGAGUCGACCCCUAAGGCGAGGCCGAAAGGCGUAGUCGAUGGGAAACGGGUUAAUAUUCCCGUACUUGGUGUUACUGCGAAGGGGGGACGGAGAAGGCUAUGUUGGCCGGGCGACGGUUGUCCCGGUUUAAGCGUGUAGGCUGGUUUUCCAGGCAAAUCCGGAAAAUCAAGGCUGAGGCGUGAUGACGAGGCACUACGGUGCUGAAGCAACAAAUGCCCUGCUUCCAGGAAAAGCCUCUAAGCAUCAGGUAACAUCAAAUCGUACCCCAAACCGACACAGGUGGUCAGGUAGAGAAUACCAAGGCGCUUGAGAGAACUCGGGUGAAGGAACUAGGCAAAAUGGUGCCGUAACUUCGGGAGAAGGCACGCUGACACGUAGGUGAAGUGAUUUACUCAUGGAGCUGAAGUCAGUCGAAGAUACCAGCUGGCUGCAACUGUUUAUUAAAAACACAGCACUGUGCAAACACGAAAGUGGACGUAUACGGUGUGACGCCUGCCCGGUGCCGGAAGGUUAAUUGAUGGGGUCAGCGCAAGCGAAGCUCCUGAUCGAAGCCCCGGUAAACGGCGGCCGUAACUAUAACGGUCCUAAGGUAGCGAAAUUCCUUGUCGGGUAAGUUCCGACCUGCACGAAUGGCGUAAUGAUGGCCAGGCUGUCUCCACCCGAGACUCAGUGAAAUUGAACUCGCUGUGAAGAUGCAGUGUACCCGCGGCAAGACGGAAAGACCCCGUGAACCUUUACUAUAGCUUGACACUGAACAUUGAGCCUUGAUGUGUAGGAUAGGUGGGAGGCUUUGAAGUGUGGACGCCAGUCUGCAUGGAGCCGACCUUGAAAUACCACCCUUUAAUGUUUGAUGUUCUAACGUGGACCCGUAAUCCGGGUUGCGGACAGUGUCUGGUGGGUAGUUUGACUGGGGCGGUCUCCUCCUAAAGAGUAACGGAGGAGCACGAAGGUUGGCUAAUCCUGGUCGGACAUCAGGAGGUUAGUGCAAUGGCAUAAGCCAGCUUGACUGCGAGCGUGACGGCGCGAGCAGGUGCGAAAGCAGGUCAUAGUGAUCCGGUGGUUCUGAAUGGAAGGGCCAUCGCUCAACGGAUAAAAGGUACUCCGGGGAUAACAGGCUGAUACCGCCCAAGAGUUCAUAUCGACGGCGGUGUUUGGCACCUCGAUGUCGGCUCAUCACAUCCUGGGGCUGAAGUAGGUCCCAAGGGUAUGGCUGUUCGCCAUUUAAAGUGGUACGCGAGCUGGGUUUAGAACGUCGUGAGACAGUUCGGUCCCUAUCUGCCGUGGGCGCUGGAGAACUGAGGGGGGCUGCUCCUAGUACGAGAGGACCGGAGUGGACGCAUCACUGGUGUUCGGGUUGUCAUGCCAAUGGCACUGCCCGGUAGCUAAAUGCGGAAGAGAUAAGUGCUGAAAGCAUCUAAGCACGAAACUUGCCCCGAGAUGAGUUCUCCCUGAGACUUAGAGUCUCCUGAAGGAACGUUGAAGACGACGACGUUGAUAGGCCGGGUGUGUAAGCGCAGCGAUGCGUUGAGCUAACCGGUACUAAUGAACCGUGAGGCUUAACCUUACAACGCCGAAG
rnacentral:rRNA from 1 species